GAUGAACGCUAGCGGCAGGCCUAACACAUGCAAGUCGAGGGAGAAGCCCUUUCGGGGGCAGAAACCGGCGCACGGGUGCGUAACGCGUAUGCAACCUGCCUUUCACAGGGGGAUAGCCCGAAGAAAUUUGGAUUAAUACCCCAUAAUAUUAUUGGAUGGCAUCAUUUGAUAAUUAAAACUGCGGUGGUGAAAGAUGGGCAUGCGUCCUAUUAGCUAGUUGGAGUGGUAACGGCACCCCAAGGCUACGAUAGGUAGGGGUCCUGAGAGGGAGAUCCCACACACUGGUACUGAGGCAGGGACCAGCCUCCUAAGGGAGGCAGCAGUGAGGAAUAUUGGUCAAUGGUCGGAAGACUGAACCAGCCAUGCCGCGUGCAGGAAGAAUGCCUUAUGGGUUGUAAACUGCUUUUAUAUGGGAAGAAUAAGGCGUACGUGUACGUUGAUGACGGUACCAUAUGAAUAAGCAUCGGCUAACUCCGUG
rnacentral:rRNA from 1 species